UACGGGGGGGGCAAGCGUUGUUCGGAAUUAUUGGGCGUAAAGGGCGCGUAGGCGGCUUUGCAAGUGGCGGGUGAAACUCCCUCGCUUAACCGAGGAACUGCCUGUCAAACUGCAUGGCUUGAGACCAGGAGAGGUGAGUGGAAUUCCCCAGUGUAGCGGUGAAAUGCGUAGAUAUUGGGAGGAACACCAGUGGCGAAGGCGGCUCACUGGACUGGUACUGACGCUGAUGCGCGAAAGCGUGGGGAGCAAACAGGG
rnacentral:rRNA from 1 species